UUUUUUUUUUAUUAUUUUUUUUAAAUAAGUUUAAAAACUAUCUAUUCUAUUAGGAGUAGCGUGGUUCUGUUUCAGCAGUACUUGUAGUUUUGCAGUGUCAGUUUGGGUGUUGUAAAGGGAGCUCAGUUCCUAGAGUAUGCAAUUGGUUCUUGGGCUGACAGAGAAAAAAGAAGAGGCACCAAAUAAUGAGGUGGAUGCUGGAUAGAGGAUUAUUUCCCUUCAUCAAUAUAGCAAAAUUAUGGCAUAUGUAUGAGAAAGGGGAAAAUUGUUUUCCUCACCUCAUAACGGAGGUCUCAAAACGCCUUAUAUUUUUAUACAAAUACAAUAAAUAAUUUCUUGAGGAAAAACAAACAAAUAUAACAAAAAAUAAACAUGAUUAUAAUUUCUUUACCACACCUCCUGCAUCUACUUAGCCUUCUAGAGGAUUAGGCAUGGAGCUAACAGUGUAACUUAUUUUGUUCAUUUGGUGUUCUUCUAUCUUAUAGUUCUACUUGACCUUCGUUCUUUUAGUCUAUAUUGGUUUGUUUCCCUACUUUUUAGAAGAACUUAAUGUUUUAGAUAUUGUUUUCUUAUAAUUUUACAAUUUUUAUGCAAACAGGUGUUAAAGAUGCCAGUGACAA
rnacentral:misc_RNA from 1 species